CAAAUAUAAUCAUAAGUUGUUCGUUUAUAUGAAGUCUUCUUUAUUUCUCUAAAGCAUGAUGUAAACACAAUCACAUCCCCAAUUUCCUUGACCCGCAUAGCACAGCACCUUCAAAGAUGAUAAAACCAACCCAAAGCCCGUGUACCACCCAACUUUCCAUGUUCAUCUCUACAAUAUGCUAUUGUCGUUUUCUCUCUCGCGAAUUGACAAUGAUAAUUACUUUAGCGUCCUCAAUAUGGCCUUUUCCUUCCUAGUAACCCAUAAUUGCAUACAAACGAACAAAUCCUAUGAGCGUACCCAUUGAGACUUCUUGCUUUUGUCCGCAUGCCGAUUGUUAGGAACGAGAUGGGAUAAAAAUAAAAUGAAAUAAAUAAAUAAAUAUACAGAGAGCAUAAAAUUUAUUUGAGAUUGGACCAUAGAUGUCAUAAUAGCGUAAGUACAAUAACCUAUCCUCCAUUCAAGAUUAGCCAACCAGAACAUGGUAAUCUUUACAUCCACAGACUGAAUGGAUUAUUGCAUGCAUAUCAGUAAUAUAUGUUCUCAGGCAACCCCUCGGCACCACAAUAGUUGGUCUGGAUACCUAAAUCCAUAUAUCGGAAGUGCAGUCACCGCCUGGAUAUCUCAUCUCAUGGGCGAGGGAAGGACCAUCAGGUUCACCUGCAAAGUCCACGAAAAAGUUUGGGUUUACUUUGAGACCACCUCGCACAGUGUCAACAUCAAUCUGUAACAUGUGGGAUCCUUUCUCUACAAGUUCAGGAUAAAACUGACGAUCCCAAGCGCUGAAGAGUGAGUUGGUGACAUAGAGCCUCUUCCCAUCUAAACUUAGUUGGAUCAUCUGAGGUCCUCCUCUCAAUCUAUUACCCUGAAGAAAAAAAGGAAAAAAAAUUGAUGCUCAUCAAUCUCUACCAGAUAUAGAGGGGCCUCAGGCAGAUAUGGAUAUCACUCUUAAGUACCAUGAAAAAUUAAGAAAAUGAUUUAUAUAAAUACAAAUUAUGAUCCUGGUUAAUGUAAUCGUGCACUGGAAACAGUAGAGCACAAUUCUUUUGCUUCCCAGUUACACAAAAGAACAUAUACUCAGCACAAGAGACGCAUAAACACAUGCAGUUGCAAACACAUGAUGCUGCCACAUGCAAUUGCAUGUAAACAACUGAAGGACCUACAUAACGUUUAUACUUUGGCAUCAAAAUUCGUUGGUAUGGAAGAGUAUUCAAACUGGAAAGGUAGAACUAUUUGGUCACAAACUACGCAUUUCAGGCAUCAUAAUAUAGUGCCAAUAAGAAUUCCAAGCAUUAACUACUCCACAAUCAGUGAGUGGUAUGUCACAUUCAUGGCAUGGACACACCAGUACUAAAAUCCAUCCAAAACCAAAAUACCUUCUUAAAGCAUUAUUAUAUGCAACAGCAGUCAAAUUUUUUACAGGAGCUGAAGUUCUUAGUAAAUCAAUUACGAUUGGGAGGAUAUUUGUUCCCUGGAGACACAGUAAAUUUAUACAAACCUGGAUCUCAGGAACAUCCGGCUGCCAAGUUUCUCCAUCUUCUUUCUCCACCGCUAUAGGGCUUCCUUUCUGAAUCACGCCGCCAACCCAAACUUGGCCUGUCAAGACUGGAUUUUUGAUGUCCUCAAUGUUAUACUGUCUGACAUCUCCAUGCAGCCAAUUGACAAAAUAAAGAAACCGAUCAUCAAGAGAGAUCAGAAAGUCAGUUAUGAGGCCUGGCAUUUCCGGAAGAAUCCAGUUUUUCACCUUCAAGGGUUUCACUGAUAUUGCCAGCUCAUGGCUCCAUGAUCCACCUGGGGUCUUGAAAAAUCGCACCAUGUUACCGGUCAAAGCACACCCAACAAACCCUGUAUCUUUAGAAGGAUCAUGAAGGAACCUUAUCUCCAAGGGUAUGAGCCCAGUGUUACCAAGAUCCAAUGUCUGUUUCAGUUCGCCAUUUGGCCAGCUAUAGACAUACAAAUGCCUCCCGUAAAGACCAUCUGAAACGUGCUGCAGAUUAAACCCUUUAGUGAAGGCUGCAGGAGCUCCCCAUGAUGAGCUGAUCAUUGUGUUGUGUCGGGGUUGGUACCAGAAAUCAUAACCAAACGGUGGACUAUGCCCUGGUUUCUCCCACCUUCCUUUCACGUUGAAUUCUGAGUCGAGAAGAAGAAAUCCACUUCCUUCUGCAUUUCCAUCUUUAUCUCCUAGGCAGGAGACCAUUAUAUCUCCAGAAGCAAGGCAAUGGGCAGUGUGUGGAUAGGCUAAUCCCGUCUUCUGUACAAUAUCUGCCGGUUCAACAACUUUGUGCAGUGAUGGAGCCUUUGGAUCUUUUUGGGUGUCAACAACAUAGAUGCGACCAGAUAUCAAUGAAGGCAGGAUUAGGAAACGCCUGUUUGCAGAUGGUUCUCCAUGGCAAGAGCUGCAAGCAUUCCACCCUGAAUGAUGCAGUUCAUCUCCUACAUAUGGCACAGGUAGCCUACUGAUAACUUUAGAAUAAGCAGGUGAGUUUGGAUCUACAUCCACUGUGGCUAGAUAAUCAGGCUUCUCUCUUCCCGUUCCAGUGUAGACACAAGUAACAUAGAUAAGAGACUCCCUAGGACCAGCCAUAGCCUCAAGUGGAGUGGCAUAACCAGGUCCCUUGUUGCAGCAUCCAUGACGAUUAUUCAAGCUAACAACAUCUGCAGCCAUUUCUGCUUUCUCUCUUAGAAAGAUAGCAAUUGGAACACUAUUGCAAAAGAUAAGCUCCUGCUACUUUUAUAGCCUGAGAAUGGGAGAAGAUACAUAUUUGUAUAAUGUCGUCUUUGCUGGCUUCGUGGGAAUAUGUCCAG
rnacentral:misc_RNA from 1 species